GAAAGGACCUUGUUUUGCUUUCCAGAGACAAUGGAGAUAUCAAAUUUCUGACUAAAGGAGAUAAUAAUGAAGUUGAUGAUAGAGGCUUGUACAAAGAAGGCCAGAACUGGCUCGAGAAGAAGGACGUGGUGGGGCGCGCCCGUGGGUUUUUACCAUAUGUCGGUAUGGUCACCAUAAUAAUGAACGACUAUCCAAAAUUUAAGUAUGCUCUUUUGGCUGUAAUGGGUGCAUAUGUGUUGUUGAAACGUGAAUCCUGAAGUGCAAAGCAGUUCCUGGGACCAGAUUGAAAGAAAUUUUGUUGAAGAGAAAAGUUAAUAUAUUUGAAAUGUUCGACUUUCUGUAUAAAAGGAAACAAUGUGGAGACGUUUUGUCUUGUUCGAAUAAAUGAUUCAUCAGUAAAGAUU